rnacentral:rRNA from 1 species
UACGUAGGGUGCGAGCGUUGUCCGGAAUUAUUGGGCGUAAAGAGCUCGUAGGCGGUCUGUCGCGUCUGCUGUGAAAACCCGAGGCUCAACCUCGGGCCUGCAGUGGGUACGGGCAGACUAGAGUGCGGUAGGGGAGAUUGGAAUUCCUGGUGUAGCGGUGGAAUGCGCAGAUAUCAGGAGGAACACCAAUGGCGAAGGCAGAUCUCUGGGCCGUAACUGACGCUGAGGAGCGAAAGCGUGGGGAGCGAACAGG